rnacentral:tRNA from 1 species
AGUAAAAUAAGCUAAAAAAGCUUUUGGGCCCAUACCCCAAAAAUGUUGGUUAAACCCUCUUUUACUAA